GCUAUCGCUGGCGCAGCAUUGGUGAAAACCUGGCUGCCGGCCAGGCGACGCCCGAGCUGGCCGUGCAAAGCUGGCUCAACAGCCCC
rnacentral:tRNA from 1 species